ACUUUCUUGGCAUGAUACCUAAGACAGAAACCAUACAAGCAAACACUGAUUUCAAAAAUAGAUAACCUCUAUUAAGGGAUUACUGUGUGCUGAGGACUUGUGUUAUCUCAUUUAACCUGCACCUCAAUCCUGUGAAGUAGGUAUGAUUACUAUCACCCUUUAUGAAUGAGAAAAACCGGGCACAGGGAAGUGAAUUACCUUACUUAAGGUCACACAGCCAGGAAGUGACUGAGCCAAGAUCUGAGGCCCAAAUGUGGGACUCCAAAGCCUGAAAACCUAAUGGGAUAUGUUCCAAAAUAGUAUUUACUGUAUAUACCGGCCAUUUCUUCAACACAGGGUGCUGUGAAAGCCAGACGAGUUCUUGCGUGUGUGAGUGCUCGGUCAAGUGGAAAGAACUACUUAGGGCCUCACGUCACUGCUUGCCAAGGUGGGACAAGGAAGAGUAGCCAGCGUCCAGUCCAUGCCUCCCCCGCAGCCUCCUCUUUCCUUUCUCACUCUGUCUUCUUUCGUUUAUUUUUAAUUUUUUUCAUGUUUAUUUAUUUUCAGAGAGAGAGAGAGAGGGAGAGAGAAUCCCAAACAGGCCUGACACCGACAGCAAAGAGCCUGCUGCACAGCUUGAUCUCACAAACCCCAAGAUCAUGACCUGAGCCAAGAUGAAGAGUCAGACGCUUAACCAACUGAGCCACCCGGCGCCCUUGUCUUCUUUCGUUUAAACUGUGCUGCUCAGUUGCAUGGAACCCCCUCAGCUAAUCCUACGGCACAAGGUAUGAUUAUAUGGAUAUACACAGAUAAUGGACUUUUAGAAAAAUUGGGGAUUGUACUGUAAGUAUUGUUUUGAAAUCACCCUUUAGUAUUUUAGACAUAAGUAUGUUUGGUCCUCACUCACGGAUUUUUCUGUAUAGAAUCAUUCUUUUGGGGAGCUCUCGCCUGCAUCAUCCACUGCUGUUGCCAACUCUGGGUUGGAACUUGUGGAUUUUGGUUGGACCCACCUAAACCCAACUGUGAAGGGUCCAGCUCCUGGACGGAGGCAGAAAUGAGAAGGCCUUUUCCCUGGAAAUCAGUGAAUGGAUGCUUUGCAAUAGUUUGCUAGAGUAUUCCUCCAAAAGUUAACUUCCAUUUUUCUUUUGGAACCUAGUUACAUGAUCAAGGUGGCAUUCCAACCCAGUAGGCUCACUAAAUGCUUGGUAAAUUGCAUUGGAGUAUGUAUUAGUCUGCUGGGGCCACCAUAACAAAAUACCACAAACUGUGGCUCAAACAACAGCAGAAAUUUAUUUUCUCCUAGUCCUGGAGGAGGAUGUCUGGGAUCAGGGUGCCCACGUGGUCGUUCUCUGGUGAGAAUUCUCACCUCAGGUUGCUGUUGGCUGCCUUCUCGCUGUGUCCUCACAUGACAUUUUCUUUGUGUGCCUGUGUGUGUGUGUGGUGGGGUGGGCAGUGAAGAGGAAGCUCUUUUUUAGGACCCUAACCUUAUCAGGUCAGGGCCCUACUCUUAUGACCUCAUAGAACCUUACAUUUACUUUCUUAGAGGGCUCUUGUCCAAAUACAGUCACACUGAGGGUUAAGGCUUCAGUAUAUGAAUUUUAGGGGGACACAGACAUUCAAUCCAUAGAAUGUGUCUGUGGUUGAGCCAAGAUUAGCCCUAAGGAUUUUUUUCUAGACGGAAUUCAAUUCUGUUGGUUGGGGGUGGCGGGGAAACUCUAUGAAGGGAAAACAGAUGACCACUCUGGUUGGGGUCAUAUCUCCUUUUACUGUCUCAUUUAAGAGGAAUACUCUUCUAUAAAACUGUAAGAAAAAUUGAUCAGAAAAUAAAGUGAAGUGAGAGCUUUGUGGUUCCUCAUGUAUUGAUUAAUACUUGGGGAAAAUGUAAUUCAAUCAAUUUAAGUCAAAUUUAAAUCACUAUUUGCUGAUCUCUUACCAUAUGUAAGGUACUGUCCAGUACAUUGGGGGCAGUAGAAAGAGGUCAACAUCGUGGCUGCCUUCAAAUGCUCAUGCAUUCAGUGGUUACCACACCUGGUAAACCAACUGGGAAAUAGUUUAAAAUAUUCCAAUUUGAUACAAUCAUAUUGAAACCCUGUUUGGCAGUGUCUACUAAAGCUAAAUAUAGGACUCGUCUCUGACCCGUGAGCACCUUCUUUCCUAUAUAUGCAUCCAACAGAAAUGCAUAUACAUGUGCACCAAAAGACAUGUAUAAGAAUGUUCAUUGCAGCACUGUUUGCAACAGCCCCUAAUUGGAAAUAACCUCAAUGUCUAUCCACAGAACAGCAGUGAGAAUGAGCAAGCCACAAAUAUAGUGACAGCAUAGACUUAACAAACGUGAUAUUGAGCAUAGAAAGCCAGACACAGAAAAUUAAGUAUUGUAUAGUCCCAUUUGUAUCAAGUUCAAAAAAAGUCAAAACCAACCUGUGCUGUUCGAAGUCAAGAUGCAGGCUAACCUUGGUGGUGGGGAGGGCAGAGAAGAGGCAGAGUCUCGAAAAAGAACAUGAAAGGGAUUCUGAUAUGCUGCCAGGAUGUUCUAUUUCUUGAUCUGAUCAAUUAGCUGGGUAUGUUCACUAUGUAAAAACUCUUCAAUAAAACAGGUAUGAUUUUUACCUUUUUCCUUAUGUAUGCUGUUUGUCCUUAAAAAAUACAAAUACAGAUUUCUAAGCCUUA